rnacentral:rRNA from 1 species
AUUGAACGCUGGCGGCAGGCCUAACACGUGCAAGUCGAGCGGAUGAAGGGAGCUUGCUCCUGGAUUCAGCGGCGGACGGGUGAGUAAUGCCUAGGAAUCUGCCUGUUAGUGGGGGAUAACGUCCGGACACGGGCGCUAAUACCGCAUACGUCCUGAGGGAGAAAGUGGGGGAUCUUCGGACCUCACGCUAUCAGAUGAGCCUAGGUCGGAUUAGCUAGUUGGUGGGGUAAAGGCCUACCAAGGCGACGAUCCGUAACUGGUCUGAGAGGAUGAUCAGUCACACUGGAACUGAGACACGGUCCAGACUCCUACGGGAGGCAGCAGUGGGGAAUAUUGGACAAUGGGCGAAAGCCUGAUCCAGCCAUGCCGCGUGUGUGAAGAAGGUCUUCGGAUUGUAAAGCACUUUAAGUGGGGAGGAAGGGCAGUAAGUUAAUACCUUGCUGUUUUGACGUUACCAACAGAAUAAGCACCGGCUAACUUCGUG